ACUUCCGGCCCGAGCGCUGCGGCGGUCGGUGUGGCAGCGCCGUUCGGGCCCGUUCCGCUCCGCGCCCGCCCCUCCGCCCGCAUGCAGCGCCGCGACGACUCCUCCGCCCGUAUGGGCCGGGGGCCGGGGGGUCCCGGAGGCGCCCGCCAAGGGGGUCCCAAUCCGCGGCGGUCUCCCCGAGGCGGGGGGGGCCGUGGGGCCGGGGCCCAGCAGCCACAGCCGCUGCUGACCGGCGGGGCGGCCGCCGGCUCCUCGGGCGCGCAGGGCCCCGCCGCCGCCAACCCCGCCCCGCUGCUGCCCGGGGGCGCCGUCAAGAUGGAGCCCGAGAACAAAUACCUGCCCGAGCUGAUGGCCGAGAAGGACAGCCUGGACCCGUCCUUCACGCACGCCAUGCAGCUCCUCAGCGCAGAAAUUGAAAAAAUUCAGAAGGGUGAAACAACAAAGAAGGAUGAGGAAGAGAACUACCUGGAUUUAUUUUCUCACAAGAAUAUGAAACUGAAAGAACGAGUUCUGAUACCUGUCAAACAGUACCCCAAGUUCAACUUUGUUGGAAAGAUUUUGGGACCUCAAGGUAACACCAUCAAGAGGCUUCAGGAGGAAACUGGUGCUAAGAUCUCUGUGCUUGGGAAGGGUUCAAUGCGAGAUAAGGCAAAGGAGGAAGAGCUGCGUAAAGGGGGAGAUCCUAAAUAUGCUCAUCUAAAUAUGGAUUUGCAUGUCUUCAUUGAAGUGUUUGGACCCCCUUGUGAAGCAUAUGCUCUGAUGGCUCAUGCCAUGGAAGAGGUCAAGAAGUUCCUUGUCCCAGAUAUGAUGGAUGAUAUCUGUCAGGAGCAAUUCUUGGAGCUCUCCUAUCUGAACGGCGUACCAGAGCCAACUCGUGGCCGAGGAGGCCCUGUGCGGGGAAGGGGAGCAGCUCCACCACCGCCUCCACCUGUUCCAAGGUACCUUUCCCAAAAACAUGGACCUGGAAAUGCUGCAUCUUGCUCAGAGUGGUGCUGCGAGAUCAGGGGGCGCGGUGUUGGUCCUCCCCCUCCGCCGCCUCCUCCCCGGGGGGCCCUGGUGCGAGGAGCCCCGGUGCGGGGUGCCAUUGCCAGGGGAGCAGCUGUAGCCCGCGGGGUGCCUCCCCCCCCAGCAGUCCGGGGUGCUCCGGCACCCAGAGCACGUGCGGCCGGCAUCCAGCGGAUACCUCUUCCUCCUCCUCCCGCGCCAGAAACCUACGAGGAAUACGGUUAUGAUGAUGCAUAUGCAGACCAGAGCUAUGAGGGCUACGAAGGCUACUACAGCCAGGGCCAAGGGGACACAGAAUACUAUGAUUAUGGACACGGGGAGGCACAGGAAACCUAUGAAGCUUAUGGCCAAGAUGACUGGAAUGGUACCAGGCCCUCCCUGAAGGCCCCACCAGCCCGGCCGGUGAAGGGCGCCUACAGAGAGCACCCAUACGGACGUUACUAAAAACAAAAUGAGGGAAAAAUAGCAGUUAUGAGCAAACAGUUGUUACUGAUUCUUGUAUCUCCCAGGAUUCCUGUUGCUUUGCCCACACCAGACAAGAGCGCAGAGCGGCUGGCGGCGGAGCGAGGGCUGGAGGCAGGAAGGGGCAGCGCGCACUGGUUUAUGAGCUCCCCCAGGUACCGGGCACUGUCACCGCUCACCGGUGAUACCGGGUUGGGACGAGCCCAGCGCGGAGCCCCGGCACCCGUGGGUCGCCUUUGGGCGCUGGUACCGCUCGGCAGCGGUGGUGAUGGGGCUCCCUCUGCUGGUUGCUGAGGCCGCCGUGAUUUGUUCUGCAAACGCCUUCAUAACGCAGCACGUGCGUGCAGACCGUGCGGGGCUGCGGCGGGGGGCGCAGCGCUCCGGCAGCACGCGGCGCUGACCUCGCGCAGCAAGGACGCGUCUCCCCUGCGGCACCAAAGGCGGCAGCCCUGAGCGCGUCCUCUGGGGACAGCCGGUUGGUUUCUCUAAUAUCUCGAGAUCGCUGGAAGGCUGAGCUCCAGAAAUCGGAGAACAAAGAAAUAAACCUUUGUGCUGCCGGAGAAGUAUAACGGCUUCAAAAGGCUGCUGUGCAAAGCCCCGGGAGCAGGACGUAGAAGGACAUAAGACUUAUUUUAUAUGGAAAUGCAGAGCUACCCAACGAGCUUCUCCUAAGAGCAUUAGGAACAAGAAAAUGGCUAUAUGUGGAAAUGGUGCAGCGGAAUGAGAUUACCCUCAAUUCUUUGCCUUUAACUUGGAAAUUGGAGCUGUAAUUCUGUUAGGGAGAGGCAUCGCAUCUGGAACUCGGGGGCCUGUUUGUGUAAUGCAUCUCCAUUACAACGUAACUGGAACAUCACUUUACGUGGUGGUGUUCCAAUCUUUGCCAUUUCUUUCUUAAUAGGCACAACUUUUAUGUCAAGUGGAAAAGAUUUGAUAGAGAUCAUCUAUUAUGAUGCAGUUUUUUACCAGUAGGAGUGGAUCUUGUGGCACUGCCUUUGGAGCUGUACAGCUUGCUUUGCAUCACAUUUAUUGCAUGUUUAUGUGAAAAUGUUGAAUGUUAUGGGGGAAUGUAAAUCUUAAUAUAUUGAAAAUAACUGCAUAUGCUAAAAAUAUUUCAAAAACAUGUUCUGCACCAGAUAGCUUCCUCCCUCUCAAAGCAGCACUACGUGCAGAUUGUAGCCUGGAGUCUGCAGGAGCUAAAUGGAGAUCCCAAAAUAGCCUUCAGCAUCGGAUGUGUCUCUGAGAUGCUCUAAUGAGCCACGCUCCGGGGUGAUGCAGGGCUCACAGAGAUAUGUGAGGGUGGAGAUCCCUCGGAGUGCUGAAGGCUGAGUCACCCAAUAACCAUCCCUUUUGUGCUGACAGCCACCGGAGGUGGUACUUAUUCUGCUGGCUGUUAGCAAACAAGUGCAGGUGACGUUUCACCUCCGGACUUGCCCAUAGAACUAAUCCACAUCUCAUUAUUUGUGGGAUGGUGGUAAAAGAUAAAAGCCCCCACCUACGUGGUACUGCAUAGCAUAACAUACACAGCAGUCACAUCUCCCCUGUGGAAGUGUUUCCCAGCAGCGCUGUUCUCAGGCUUGGCUUUAGGAGCACCCUCUGCUGCAGAGCACUCCCUGCUCAGCAGCCCAUCCCCUCUGAAUCCUGCUCUGGGGGGCUGCUGCUGGUCCAGCACUUGGUACCAGUGCUCAGACUGCCCUGCUUGGAGGCGGUACACAGCCGGACUUUGUCCUCCUGCAGUGGGAUGUCACCACGUGUGGUGGCUCCCAGCACUGAGCAGCAGCUGAGCUCCAGCUGGGACUGCAGAGAUGUCCCGAGCAGUUUUUCCUGGAAGGAGGCUGUUGUACUGUGUGUAUUCCUUACCCCUGGUUUCAAGUUGCUGUUUAGAUUAUUAGAUAAAGCAAAUGACUGUGAGCUUCCUUUUAUAAUUUACUGAUUUAACUUAGUAUGGCCCUCUGUAAAACUCCGUAUUUGGCAAGUUGGAUCCAGCUGAGGUUUAGGAGCACAGCUGCAUUCCCUGCUUGGCUCUUAGAGCAGAUGAAUCUUUUUGCACAGAAUGAGUUUUCAAAUUAGUAUGAGAGCAUCUGUCAUGGACAGAGCCAAGAAAAGCAAUUGAGAUGUGCACCUCUUCCUUCCUUGCCCCAUACCGCUGCUCCUGAAGAGCCCGUGUGGGCGGGGGGCAGCUGGCACAGACCCCAGGGGAGGGCAGCAGCUGUGCCCGUCUGCUGGGAGCUGAGCAGAGCAGGAGGUGCCGUUAGCACAGCCCUGCCAUGAGGGCUGUUGUGAGUACAGAUGGUGCUUUUAGGGAGUAAGGCACAGCUUAGGGAAAUCCUGCCUUAACUGAGAAACCUUCAGCAUCUCGAGUGAGGUGUUGGACACAAGCCCUGUUGGUAAGCUUUGAGGGGGAGGAAUUUCUGCAGCCAGUCAGGGCCUGCGGGAACUGCCAGCUCCAACGUGGAUAUCAUUCCUCUUUACUCAGGAAGCUCAGAUCCCGAGAGCACAGAGCAGAACCCUUUGCUGUCAUUGCUCAGCUGAGCCCCGUGUUCCAAUUGAAAUGUUUGUUUCCACGCUCACUUUGCUCCUUCUGCGCUGCGGGACGGAGGUCGGAUGCGUUGCUUUCAGGUGGUGAAGGACCGUGGUCCAGGAGCCCCGUGCUUUACUGCGAGUUGGAAGAAGCCGAGUGCCAGCUCUGCUGAAUGCCAGAGCUCCUUCAGCUGCCUCCAGAGCUGGAGAGAGGCAGCACUGAAGCACAGCCUUCCCCAUGGAGCUGUUGCUGCUGGCUCUGGAACCAAGCACGAGCAAAGGCGUGCCUGCAGUGUUCCACCCUGACCUGCUCCUGUAGAGCACCAGUGCUGCUGCUGGGCUGGAGGACGUGGUUCUGCCCCAGGUGCCGGGAUGCUGCUGGGCUUCGGUGCACAGGUUCCAAAACCAAUAAGGAACGGAAGAACGCUCCAAUGAAGGGCUGUUCAUUUUAGAAGAGGCUUUGCCUGCAGGCUGGGCAGGGGCAGCAGGCAGGAUUGUGUACUGCUCCAUCUGAGCCAUAGCCUGAGCUGCCCGCAGGUUGGGGAGUUCAGCGCAGAGCGCUGCAGGUGGCCGGCGGAGGCGGUGAGCGGUGAUCGAGGUACUCGUGGAGUCGAGAUGACGUGUAUGGGAAGCUGGCACGCUGUGACACAGCCGGCGUUUAGCUGAUGUUGUCAUUCCUUAAUAAAGACUGCACACGGAUCUUUUGGCUUCCAAA